GGUCCUACGGGGCGCAGCAGUGAGGAAUAUUGGUCAAUGGGCGGGAGCCUGAACCAGCCAAGUCGCGUGAGGGAAGACGGUCCUAUGGGUUGUAAACCUCUUUUGUCAGGGAGCAACGCCGGCUACGUGUAGCCGGACUGAGAGUACCUGAAGAAAAAGCAUCGGCUAACUCCGUGCCAGCAGCCGCGGUAAUACGGAGGAUGCGAGCGUUAUCCGGAUUUAUUGGGUUUAAAGGGUGCGUAGGCGGAAUGCCAAGUCAGCGGUAAAAUCGCGGGGCACAACCUCGCUCCGCCGUUGAAACUGGG
rnacentral:rRNA from 1 species